rnacentral:rRNA from 1 species
GGUUAAGCGACUAAGCGUACACGGUGGAUGCCCUGGCAGUCAGAGGCGAUGAAGGACGUGCUAAUCUGCGAUAAGCGUCGGUGAGGUGAUAUGAACCGUUAUAACCGGCGAUUUCCGAAUGGGGAAACCCAGUGUGUUUCGACACACUAUCAUUAACUGAAUCCAUAGGUUAAUGAGGCGAACCGGGGGAACUGAAACAUCUAAGUACCCCGAGGAAAAGAAAUCAACCGAGAUUCCCCCAGUAGCGGCGAGCGAACGGGGAGGAGCCCAGAGCCUGAAUCAGUGUGUGUGUUAGUGGAAGCGUCUGGAAAGGCGCGCGAUACAGGGUGACAGCCCCGUACACAAAAAUGCACACAUUGUGAGCUCGAUGAGUAGGGCGGGACACGUGGUAUCCUGUCUGAAUAUGGGGGGACCAUCCUCCAAGGCUAAAUACUCCUGACUGACCGAUAGUGAACCAGUACCGUGAGGGAAAGGCGAAAAGAACCCCGGCGAGGGGAGUGAAAAAGAACCUGAAACCGUGUACGUACAAGCAGUGGGAGCCUCUUAAUGGGGUGACUGCGUACCUUUUGUAUAAUGGGUCAGCGACUUAUAUUCUGUAGCAAGGUUAACCGAAUAGGGGAGCCGAAGGGAAACCGAGUCUUAACUGGGCGUUAAGUUGCAGGGUAUAGACCCGAAACCCGGUGAUCUAGCCAUGGGCAGGUUGAAGGUUGGGUAACACUAACUGGAGGACCGAACCGACUAAUGUUGAAAAAUUAGCGGAUGACUUGUGGCUGGGGGUGAAAGGCCAAUCAAACCGGGAGAUAGCUGGUUCUCCCCGAAAGCUAUUUAGGUAGCGCCUCGUGAAUUCAUCUCCGGGGGUAGAGCACUGUUUCGGCAAGGGGGUCAUCCCGACUUACCAACCCGAUGCAAACUGCGAAUACCGGAGAAUGUUAUCACGGGAGACACACGGCGGGUGCUAACGUCC